UAACUUAAAAUUAUGACUUACAAAGAUCGCCAAAUAGCUGAAUCAGAAAUUCAGAACUUCAUAAAUGAGCUAGAAAACAGUGAAAAUGAAGAUUAUGAAGAUAAUAAGCGGCAUUAGUGUCUAUCAAAAGCGAUGUUACAAAAAGUCUAGAUUUUGAAGAGAUUCUGAAUCAAUUAAUGUAUGAAAAAUCAAGGAAAAAAAUAUACUAAUUUGGAUACAUAUUGUUGGCGACAUAGCUCAUGUAUUAAAGUCUUCUGUCACAGUUGACUCAGCAAGAAUGAAGACAUUGAUACACUUUUGCAUUAUGGAAUACACAAGGUGGCAGUUCCUUGCCCACUACCACCCAAAUACAGAUUUAAAAAAUCCCUAUCUGUACUUAACAGACGAUGGAGACGAAGUGAUUAUUAUGUGUGGCAAAAGAUUAUUUUAUGAAGUUUUUCAUUUUCUGACGUUAUGGAACUUAUUGGAAUACACUUGUCAUGGACAUGGGAGGAGUAUUGCCGCUACAAGCAUGAACAAUAAUAAAACAUUCCAAAGAACAAUUUGUUAUUUCAACGAUUAGAUUUGUUGUUUUAAUGUAUAAAUGUUUUUUUAAUAUUCUUAUUAUAUAUCAUCCUAAUUUCAAAA